rnacentral:rRNA from 1 species
GACAGAGGGUGCAAACGUUGUUCGGAAUUACUGGGCGUAAAGCGCGUGUAGGCGGCUCUGCAAGUCGGGUGUGAAAUCCCAUGGCUCAACCAUGGAAGUGCACUCGAAACUGCAGGGCUAGAGUCCUGGAGAGGAAGGUGGAAUGCUUGGUGUAGAGGUGGAAUGCGUAGAUAUCGGGAGGAACACCGGUGGCGAAGGCGGCGAUCUGGGUAGAUACGUGACGCUGAGGUGCGAAAGCGUGGGGAGCAAACAGG